GAUGAACGCUGGCGGCGUGCCUACAUGCAAGUAGAACGCUGAAGGAAGGAGCUUGCUCUUUCCGGAUGAGUUGCGAACGGGUGAGUAACGCGUAGGUAACCUGCCUGGUAGCGGGGGAUAACUAUUGGAAACGAUAGCUAAUACCGCAUAACAGUAGAUGUUGCAUGAUAUCUACUUAAAAGGUGCAAUUGCACCACUACCAGAUGGACCUGCGUUGUAUUAGCUAGUUGGUGAGGUAACGGCUCACCAAGGCGACGAUACAUAGCCGACCUGAGAGGGUGAUCGGCCACACUGGGACUGAGACACGGCCCAGACUCCUACGGGAGGCAGCAGUAGGGAAUCUUCGGCAAUGGACGGAAGUCUGACCGAGCAACGCCGCGUGAGUGAAGAAGGUUUUCGAAUCGUAAAGCUCUGUUGUAAGAGAAGAACGAGUGUGAGAGUGGAAAGUUCACACUGUGACGGUAUCUUACCAGAAAGGGACGGCUAACUACGUG
rnacentral:rRNA from 1 species